AAAUAUUUCAAGUGAGGAGGAAAUAAAGCCAUUACUGUGGAAACGUUUUGAUUGUGUGAUUACCUAGUCUAUUACAGUUUGUUACAAAUUGAGUUUGAUAUUAACACGUGCAUUGCUAAUAGGAGGUUAUUCUUAGAAGAUUUUUAGAAUGGUGGUCGGAUGUAACUUUCUGCCUGAUCUUCCUCAUUGUCAAAAUAAAACUGAAG
rnacentral:lncRNA from 1 species